UUGGACACCGCCACACACACACACACACGCGCGCGCGGAGAACGCCAAGUGAAGAUAAAUGCAGCAGAAGCCACAAACAUCAGACUGCCAGGAAACCACCAGAAGCUAGGAGACAGGCAUGGAACAGAUUCUCCAUCUCACCCUUAGAAGGAACCAACCCUGUUGACACCUUGAUCUCCGAUUUCUAGUGCGUAAACUGAAGUUCCUAUACAGGAUUCGAACCUGUGGCCUCCCGUAGCCAAAGCCCUACCUCUGCAACCCUGAACGCCAGCCCAGGAGCAACAGCGCCUGCGCACAGCCAGCAGCCAAUGGCAAUGAUUAGCCAGAGGAUCAGACUCACCGCCAGUAAGGGUUUAAGGCAACCCUUGCUACCCUGGAAGAGCUUGGUGGACCAUCCCAGCCCCAUAACCUGAUGAUCAAUGAGGGCUAAGUGAAGGUGUUCAAACCCUUGCAGCAGAGCCCUGGACCAUAAACAGACAUUCGUUCCUGUGAUGCCA